UUCAUUGGGGAAUAACUCUCCGAAAGGAGAGCUAAUACCGCAUAAGACCACAGACACUACGGUGUCAGGGGUUAAAGGGGACCACUUCUUGAAAGUUCUCGAUGAAUGAUGAGUCUGCGUCCGAUUAGCUAGUUGGUGAGGUAAAGGCUCACCAAGGCGAUGAUCGGUAACUGGUCUGAGAGGACGACCAGUCACACUGGAACUGAGACACGGUCCAG
rnacentral:rRNA from 1 species